CGUAGGGUGCAAGCGUUAAUCGGAAUUACUGGGCGUAAAGCGUGCGCAGGCGGUCCGCUAAGACAGAUGUGAAAAUCCCCGGGCUUAACCUGGGAACUGCAUUUGUGACUGGCGGGCUAGAGUAUGGCAGAGGGGGGUAGAAUUCCACGUGUAGCAGUGAAAUAGCGUAGAGAUGUGGAGGAAUACCGAUGGCGAAGGCAGCCCCCUCGGGCCAAUACUGACGCUCAAUGCACGAAAGACGUGGGGAGCAAACAAGGAUU
rnacentral:rRNA from 1 species